rnacentral:tRNA from 1 species
GUUCGAGGCGGCUCGGGCUGCUUUGCAAGCAGGGGGUCGUGGGUUCGAGUCCCAUCGUCUCCA